CAUAAACAUAGUUUAACAACAAUAAAAACACUAGAACAACAUAUAACAGAAAACAUAAACAAGAAAGAAACAUAGUGCUUUAUUCUUCUUCCGAACCGGCCUCAUCCUCCUCACCAUCCGCUUCACUACCGUCAGCACCUUCAUCAUCUUCUACGGGAAGGUUGCGGGAACUCAACACUAGGUUCCGAAGACUCUUGAUAGCACGGGUGGUCUCACGGUGGUGAUUCAUCAUGGUAGUAUAGAGAAACUCAUUGGAGAUGCCACCUUCCGG
rnacentral:lncRNA from 1 species